rnacentral:rRNA from 1 species
UACGGAGGGUGCAAGCGUUAUCCGGAUUCACUGGGUUUAAAGGGUGCGUAGGUGGGCAGGUAAGUCAGUGGUGAAAUCUCCGGGCUUAACUCGGAACUGCCGUUGAUACUAUCUGUCUUGAAUAUCGUGGAGGUUAGCGGAAUAUGUCAUGUAGCGGUGAAAUGCUUAGAUAUGACAUAGAACACCAAUUGCGAAGGCAGCUCACUACGGAUAUAUUGACACUGAGGCACGAAAGCGUGGGGAUCAAACAGG